rnacentral:rRNA from 1 species
GCACAAGCGGUGGAGCAUGUGGUUUAAUUCGACGCAACGCGAAGAACCUUACCUGGGCUCGAAAUGUACAGGAAUCCGGUGGAAACAUCGGCGCCCAGCAAUGGGCCUGUAUAUAGGUGCUGCAUGGCUGUCGUCAGCUCGUGUCGUGAGAUGUUGGGUUAAGUCCCGCAACGAGCGCAACCCUUACCCCCAGUUGCCAUCAUUAAGUUGGGCACUCUGGUGGAACCGCCUCGGAUAACGGGGAGGAAGGUGGGGAUGACGUCAAGUCCUCAUGGCCUUUAUGUCCAGGGCUACACACGUGCUACAAUGGCCGGUACAAACCGUCGCAAAGCCGCGAGGUGGAGCUAAUCGGAAAAAGCCGGCCUCAGUUCGGAUCGCAGUCUGCAACUCGACUGCGUGAAGCUGGAAUCGCUAGUAAUCGUGGAUCAGAAUGCCACGGUGAAUACGUUCCCGGGC